ACAUGUUAGUGUCUCAGGAAUU
rnacentral:miRNA from 8 species